rnacentral:rRNA from 1 species
UACGUAGGGGGCAAGCGUUGUCCGGAUUUACUGGGCGUAAAGGGCGCGUAGGCGGCGACUCUAGUCAGAUGUGAAAGUCCUGGGCUUAACCUGGGGACUGCAUUUGAUACUGGGUUGCUUGAAUUCGGGAGAGGAUAGCGGAAUUCCCAGUGUAGAGGUGAAAUUCGUAGAUAUUGGGAAGAACACCGGUGGCGAAGGCGGCUAUCUGGACCGACAUUGACGCUGAGGCGCGAAAGCGUGGGGAGCAAACAGG